GUAGGGCUGGAGGCCUGACCACCAGUUAGGAGAGCAAUUAUAGGCAUAGGAGGCAGGGCUGGAGGCCUGGCCACCAGUUAGGGGAGUGAUCAUGGGCGUAGGAGGCAGGCCUGGAGCCCUGACCACGGGUUAGGAGGGUGACCAUGAGCAAGAGAUGAUCAGGCAGAAGGCUGUGAUGGGGAAAGGAGCACAUGGACAGGCAUUAAGCUGACAACUGUCAAGAACUGUCCCCUGCCAUUUCACCUGAGCUGACCUGAUCUCCCCAGGGGAAUGAGCCUCGUCUUGCAAGUCCCCUUCUUUGGGUCCCUGGCAGCGCUGCUGCAGGAUACAAGGAACAGGAUGCUAUGACGAGAUAUGCAUUGAGAAGCUUCAGUCCUGCCUCCAUCCUUAUCUUCUUCUCCCUGGACCAAAAGUGAUAAUUGUCAUUUGAUCCUUAUUUAUUUUUAGAAAUAAAACUCUUAUGCAGAUACCAACACAUACAAAUCUGUAUUCUUAUACCCUCUAUUUCUUACACACAAGACAAGGGAAACCAAGAAUGAUCUGGAUAAUGGAGAAACCUGUUAAUACAACUGGAUUUGAAUCACACUACUGGCUGAAAUUCACACAACCGGAUUGGGAUCCCACUGUGUAAUUUUAGCCCAGCACUUGGAAUGAUGCUGUCCCACAGAGGACACUCAGUAAAUGCAGUGUCUGCGUCAAUGACUAAAGAACCCAGAAACCCGCUUGCCUGUCCCCUAUAUUGGAUGCUCAAGCAUCAUGGCAUCAUUUCCAGUGGAGUCGCUGAACUUGUAGGUUGUCUACCUGACACCUCGAGGUCCUUACACCAAGAAGUCAGCUGUGAAGCCCGCUGAGUCCUCGGGUGGAUGUCUGCCACCACAUACAUAGCCUUUGCUGGUGGCUUGGAGAGCUGGCAGGUCAGCCACAGAAAGUGGGCAAGACCUAGUCAGUAGCGACAGGAUAUGUUCCCAGGAUGGACAGCUGCCUGAUAUGCGUUCAGUUCCAGUGCCAAAGCCAAGGGCUGCCAGUGCCCUUCCUUCAUGCUAAGGACUUCUCUCUCUCCAGGACAGCGGAUGCCUGUUUGGAAGGCUGGAUUGGACUGAGCCACAUGGCAGAGCCUUGGAGAUGGCAGGGGAGGGAAGUCGAAGACAUGGAGUGGUUUGACAUUUGUGCAUAGUAUGAAGAAAGAUCAUCAAGGCUGAAAUGUGUCUGCUAAGAGGCUUCAGCUCAUGUUUGCUAAUCUCCUGUAUGGUGAAACACUGGCACCCAGACAAACCCUCAUUCACAUCAGAACAAAGCGCUAGUUAUGUGUGUUGAAAUUCCUUAAAGAAAAUGUCUUGCAGGCUGCUGGGGAGUGCGUGAAUGCUGGAAAUGCUUCACCAAGAGUUACUCAAUGUCCUGGGAAGACGGUCUGCUGGCAUCUGAGGGCUCACCCUAGAGAAGAGUGGUUGUACUCCAGGGCACAUGGGUCUGGUGAGGACAGAGAAGCAUGGGUGGAUGGGUGGGUGGAGAUGAGGGUGGAUGUUUUCUCUGUAAUCGUCUCCGGCCAGGCUGGAGCCCGAACCAGACUACCCACUUUAUUAGUCCAUUGAGAAUAUCUAAAGUCAGGCUUCUCAGCACAGCUGCCAUUUCCCCUGCUUGGGACCAGAUUUUCCUGUUUUCUGAGGGCUUCCAAGUAAGUUGGAAGUUCCUUGGGUUUCCACAACUUUGACUUAAUGAAGAAACAAGGUCAAGAAUCAGAGGAAAGGUUUUUGGAUGGGCCUCAGAGGUCUGAAAUGGUUAGGUGGGAGUCUAAAGGUAUAGGAGAGAAACUAAAUCAGUUGUAGCCCCAGCUGUUUGGAGAUGAUGCCAGCAGAUGGGAUUGAGUAAGCGACCACAGGUUGCAGAGGGUGGCAGAUGGGAGGCGGAUGUGGAAAUGGGGUCCCAGUCAGAAAUGAACACCACUAGAGGAGCAGGAAGAAGGGCCAAGCAAGAGCAGUGGUUCUCAUUGUGGUUUCUGGACUAGCGGCGGCAGCAGCACCCACGAUGUAGAUGUCAACUCUUAACUCCACUCGGAAACCCACUGAAUCAGAAACUCAGGUGGUGAAGCCCAACCAGCGGUACUUGAAUAAGUCCUCCAGUGAGUCUGAUGGACACUAAAGUUUAAGAACCACUGAGUCAGGGAACCCCAAGGGAGGCAAUUGCUAAGGAACUGCAAGAGAGGAAUUAGGGGCUGGGCCAGGGGCCAGGCGCGGUGGCUCACACCUGUAAUCCCAGCACUUUGAGAGGCUGAGGCAGGAGAAUGGCUUGAGCCCAGGAGUUCAAGACUAGCCUGGGCAACAUAGUGAAACCCUGACUCUACAAAGAACACAAAAUUGGCCAGGCAUGGUGGUAGCCACCUGCAGUCCUAACUACUCGGGAGGAUCACUUGAGCCUGGGAGAUGGAGGUUGCAGUGAGCUGAGAUCACACCUCUGGGCUACAGCCUGGGUGAUAGAGCAAGACCCCAUCUCAAAAAAAAAAAAAAAAAAGACGGCAGGAUUAGGGAAACUUCUAGAAUGAGGAGGAGAUGGCCCUGAAAGCACAGGGGGACAAGGAGAGUGAACUGAAAAGUAGAAAGAAGUUCUUCUCCAUAAGAAAAAAAGGUGAUGAGAGCUACAAUAAAAAACUACUAGUCACAACGGCUGCAGCUCAAGGUAGCCUGGAUUCUUGAUAAGCACACACCCGCCACUGGUGUCACGCUGAAGCUGGAAGGACCGCCUCUGCUAACAACAGUGAAGAACAAAUGUGGAUGCAAAUGGCUCUUAGAAGUCAGACAAAGGGAAGUUGCAUUGCUGAGAUUCACCUGCAGGUCCCAGCAUGGCUCAUUUGUUCUCUGGAGUAGUGGGUUGAAUGGUAGCCCCCCGCCCCCAUAGAUAUCCUAACCCCUAGAAUCUGUGAACGUGAUCUUAUUGUGGCAGCAGGCCUGUAAUCCAAGCUACUCUGGAAGCUGAAGGGGGAGGAUUUCUUGAGGCCAGAGGUUCGAGACCGGCCUAGGCAACAUAGCAAGAGACCCCUUCCAUCUCCAAAAAAUGAAGGAUAUCCAGAUGAGAUCAUCCUGGAUUAUCUGAGUGGGUCUUAAAUCCAAUGACAUCCAAAUUUAUAAGAGAUGAAAGAGGAGGAAAAGAGAGAUAUGCAGAGGAGAAGGUGAUGGGAAGAUGGAGGCAGGAAUUGGAGUGACACAUCCAUAAACAUGUAGACAUAAAGGGAAUGCCUGUAGUCACCAGCAGUGGGAAGAGGUAAGGCGGGAUUGUCCCGCAGAGCCUUCAGAGGAGGCAUGGCCCUGCUAACACCUUGAUUUUUGGACUUCUGACCUCCAGAAAUGAAAGAAAAUAAAUUACUAUUGCUUUAAGCCACCAAAUUUGUGGUGAUUUAUUAUAGCAGCUCUAGGAAAUUAAUAUACCUGGCUUAAGGGAAGAGGCAUGGGAUUUGAAGACAGACAGACUGGUGUCUUGAACUUUUUGAAUGUUACUCCCUAGGGUGGGAUGUGAACUCUGAGUCACAGCAGUCCCCACGUGGCUUGAGUCCCUCAUUACUUUAGCUAUCUGCCUCCUAUGAGCAUCUUAGCUUUGUAUCCUCUGGGUAACUUCACCUCUCCAGUCUUCUCCACCUUUGACAUCUUAUUAUUCCAGCAAGGGGGGUGGGGAAGGUGGAUUACCUCAAAUCUUUGGAGCAAUGUUUGGGGAUGAUGUAGUCUACCAUCCUUUGAAUAGCUUGGCUGAUUUACCAUUGAGGAAGAAAGAAAUUUCUUCUUGAGAUGUAGUGUGAUGCCUUUUUCAGAACCAGCCACUCUAGUGAUUUUUAAUAAAAAAAAUUAUUGUCUCAUGGCUGGGUUUCUGUCAUUCCUUCCAGAAGGUGGGAGGCUGUGAGUUUGGAAAAUUAGUGUCUGGUGACUGUGGGUGAGAAGGCCCUUUCCUACAUAACAGAAGAAAUAAACAC
rnacentral:lncRNA from 1 species